GCCAGCAGCCAUAUCACUCUGCAACUCACAACUGGCAGCCCACUGAAGCUAAGCAGGUGUGAGCCUGGUCAGUACCUGGAUGGGAGACCUCCUGGGAAAAACUAAGGGCUGGAA
rnacentral:rRNA from 1 species